rnacentral:rRNA from 1 species
UACGUAGGGUGCAAGCGUUGUCCGGAAUUAUUGGGCGUAAAGAGCUCGUAGGCGGUUUGUCGCGUCUGCCGUGAAAGUCCGGGGCUCAACUCCGGAUCUGCGGUGGGUACGGGCAGACUAGAGUGAUGUAGGGGAGACUGGAAUUCCUGGUGUAGCGGUGAAAUGCGCAGAUAUCAGGAGGAACACCGAUGGCGAAGGCAGGUCUCUGGGCAUUAACUGACGCUGAGGAGCGAAAGCAUGGGGAGCGAACAGGA